rnacentral:tRNA from 1 species
GGGCAGUUAGCGCAGCGGUAGCGCAUCUCGUUUACACCGAGGAGGUCGGGGGUUCAAAUCCCUCACUGCCCA